ensembl:lncRNA
GAAUCACACAACCAUGGGCACUGCCAGGCACCUCUCUGUCACAAGGCUUAUUCUUCUUCGUUGGUCUUCAUAUGGCGGUUGGCAAUCAACUUUAAGGUGCAUUACCACUACCAACUGGAAUGGAGUGUGGACCUCAGUUCGUCUUUCAAUUACCCACCCUCCACUUUGAGAUGUCGAUGUUCAGAGGCGGCAAGCCUGAAGCGUAGCCCGGGGGGAGAAAGGACCUCCAGUCAUCCUCAAAUAGCUUUCUCUGAUGGAAGUUCCAGCUGCAACAACAGACAAAUAUGUAGCAACAUUGUCAUUGCAUGCUUCCAUUAUUCCAUUAUAUCACUCUGGUAAAAACCCAGAGUGGUAAGAUUUUUUUGGUGCAGUGGUAAAAAUAGAAACGGUCCUUUUACUGGUAUUUUACUCUUUGACUCUCUCUCUGUAGGACAUUUUCUUUUCCUUUUUGGGUGUUUUUUUAGAUGACUGCUGAAGGACU